UUCUUUAAGAGAAUAAUUUAAAGUAAGACCUGCUCAAUGACGUUAAUAAAUAGCCGCAGUAAACCUGUGCUAAGGUAGCAUAAUAAUUAGCUUUUUAAUUGAAAGAUUGAAUGAAAGGUUACACACUAAAAACUUGUUUCUUUUAGCUCAAAUUAACCUAAACCUGAAGUAAAAAUUCUUCUAUAAAAAGCAGGACGACAAGACCCUGAUAAACUUCUCAUUUAGUUGGGGAAACAAUAUAAUAAAUCUUUAAUAUUCCAAAAUACAUAACUUCACAAUAAAAUCUAGACUAGUUACUACAGGGAUAACAGCGUUAUUUUCUUUAAGAGACCAUAUCUAAAAGAAAGUUUACGACCUCGAUGUUGAAUUAAUAACCUAAUACAACGCAAUAGUUUAUUUAAGGUAGUCUGUUCGACUAUUAAAAAAUU
rnacentral:rRNA from 1 species